UACGUAGGGUGCAAGCGUUGUCCGGAAUUAUUGGGCGUAAAGAGCUCGUAGGUGGCGUGUCGCGUCUGCCGUGAAAGCCCAUGGCUUAACUGUGGGUCUGCGGUGGAUACGGGCAGGCUGGAGGCUGGUAGGGGCAAGCGGAAUUCCUGGUGUAGCGGUGGAACGCGCAGAUAUCAGGAGGAACACCAAUAGCGAAGGCGAGCUCGCUGGGACGGUACUGACGCCUGAGCGCGAAAGCGUGGGGCGAACAGG
rnacentral:rRNA from 1 species